rnacentral:rRNA from 1 species
AUUGAACGCUGGCGGCAGGCCUAACACAUGCAAGUCGAGCGAGCGGCGGACGGUUGUGUAAUGUCUGGGAAACUGCCUGAUGGCGGGGGAUAACUACUGGAAACGGUAGCUAACACCGCAUACCAUCAGAUGUGCCCAGGUGGGAUUAGCUAGUAGGUGGGGUAACGGCUCACCUAGUCGACGAUCCCUAGCUGGUCUGAGAGGAUGACCAGCCACACUGGAACGGAGACACGGCCCAGACUCCUACGGUAGGCAGCAGUGGGGAAUAUUGCACAAUGGGCGCAAGCCUGAUGCAGCCAUGCCGCGUGUGUGAAGAAGGCCUUCGGGUUGUAAAGCACUUUCGGCGGGGAGGCGUUACCCGCAGAAGAAGCACCGGCUAACUCCGUGCCAGCAGCCGCGGUAAUUC